UACGAAGGGGGCUAGCGUUGCUCGGAAUGACUGGGCGUAAAGGGCGCGUAGGCGGUUCAUACAGUCAGAUGUGAAAUUCCCGGGCUUAACCUGGGGGCUGCAUUUGAUACGUGUGGGCUUGAGUGAGGAAGAGGGUUGUGGAAUUCCCAGUGUAGAGGUGAAAUUCGUAGAUAUUGGGAAGAACACCGGUGGCGAAGGCGGCAACCUGGUC
rnacentral:rRNA from 1 species